rfam:Oryctolagus cuniculus chromosome 12, whole genome shotgun sequence.
CCAACGGCUCUUUUAAGAGCCACCCCACCUCUCAGUUAAAAGCUGU